rnacentral:tRNA from 1 species
GGAUGGGUGGCCGAGUGGUUGAAGGCACCGGUCUUGAAAACCGGCAGAGGGUUCAUGCUCUCUCGUGGGUUCGAAUCCCACCCCAUCCG